UACGGAGGGAGCUAGCGUUGUUCGGAAUUACUGGGCGUAAAGCGCACGUAGGCGGCUUUGUAAGUUAGAGGUGAAAGCCUGGGGCUCAACCCCAGAAUUGCCUUUAAGACUGCAUCGCUUGAAUCCGGGAGAGGUGAGUGGAAUUCCGAGUGUAGAGGUGAAAUUCGUAGAUAUUCGGAAGAACACCAGUGGCGAAGGCGGCUAUCUGGCCCAACAUUGACGCUGAGACCCGAAAGCGUGGGGAUCAAACAGG
rnacentral:rRNA from 1 species